GACAGAGGUGCCAAGCGUUAGGCGGAAUCACUGGGCGGAAAGCGUCUGUAGGUGGUUUAAAAAGUCUAUUGUUAAAAAUUGAAGCUUAACUUCAAAGAUGCAAUGGAAACUUUUAAACUUGAGUAUGGUAGGGGUAGAGGGAAUUUCCAGUGGAGCGGUGAAAUGCGUAGAUAUUGGAAAGACCACCAAUGGCGAAGGCACUCUACUGGGCCAUUACUGACACUGAGAGACGAAAGCUAGGGGAGCAAACAGG
rnacentral:rRNA from 1 species